rnacentral:other from 1 species
GUGCUUCUGCCGGGUACGUGAUGCGGUAACAGCGCUGAGCCAACACUCCAACCACGGAAGCCCGGAGUUCGGGGCCCAGAGGACGAGUCCGUAAAGGAAUGUCCGAAGGUUCCGGCAGGGCAUCCACCUGGUAGCUCCGGUUCACGUCCGGUUCUUCGCACACGGCCCGGCGGGGCCUCC